ensembl:snoRNA small nucleolar RNA SNORA47
CGGAGGAUUGAGAAGGUUUGAUGGCUUGUUACUGUGCUGUUAAAACUGGUUAAUAACCUCCCAAAGAAAGAGGGCAGAUUCAACAACUGGUUCUGUAAUGUAGCUGAGAACUAAUGUU